GGGCACGUGGUGUAGUUGGUUAUCACGCUCGCUUAGCAUCUGUGCAAUUGCGAGAGGGGUCCGGUUCGAUCCCGGACGUGUCCA
rnacentral:tRNA from 1 species